GCGGGGCUGCUCUGCGCGCUCACGCCCGCGGCCGCGCUGGCCUGGCUGAUCCGCAGGAGGAGCCUCUAGGGAGAGGGGCGCUGGACGGAGCGGGGAGCAGGCGGGACGCGCAACAGGCUGGAGCAAACCCUGUGCCCUUGGAGAAAAUUGUUUCCCCUUUUCCUCCAGGGAAUCCAGAGCCUGAGCAGCAGCUGUGAAGAGUGGAGAGAAAGGAAGAAGUGGGAGAUGCUGGAAGUGCUUUGGGCGACGUGAGAAGGAGGAUUUGCCCGGAAGGAGCUGUUCAAGGGCCCAGCAGCAAACCAGAGACACAAAACCUGCUUAUAUAUAGAAGAAUGUAACCCCUGUGUAUGCAGACGUGGACGCGUGCAUGCCUUGUCGAGAGCGUAAGCGACAUUCCCUGUAGAUCGCUGCUGUGAGCAGCCCUGCUCCUGCAGGCCGAGCCUGGGCACUGCUGCUGGCCUGCCGGACACCACCCGCUGCCCUGCUGGCCCAUUUGUGCAGCAGGAUGAGGAGGAAUCUCUACACCCAGAUUAGUAAUCCUGAGAAUUCCAAACGUGCUGCAGCGCGGGCACGGCCCAGGCGUGGCGGGGAGCGGGUGCGGAGCAGCUCGGACAGCAGUUUGUGUGUGUAAAUAUUCAUGCUCUGGCACCAGGGGAGAGCAGCUUUCCUAUGACUUUAGUUUCUCUGGUGCUACAUUUAAUAUUUGUCCGGGGCUAAACUGCCUCUCUGUGGUGCUACGGUUUCCCCAAGAGGAUGUUCUGAAACGUGGGACAAGGAAAGAUCUAUUUUGGUUAUUGAUAUUUAUACACAAGAUAGCAAAAAAUAAGACUUGUUGAGAAGGUG